UGCUAUGGAAGGAAACGGUAGAGACUGCA
rnacentral:piRNA from 1 species